GAUUAAGUUAUUAAGGGCGCACGGUGGAUGCCUUGGCACUAGAAGCCGAUGAAGGACGUUACUAACGACGAUAUGCUUUGGGGAGCUGUAAGUAAGCUUUGAUCCAGAGAUUUCCGAAUGGGGAAACCCAGCAUGAGUUAUGUCAUGUUAUCGAUAUGUGAAUACAUAGCAUAUCAGAAGGCACACCCGGAGAACUGAAACAUCUUAGUACCCGGAGGAAGAGAAAGAAAAUUCGAUUCCCUUAGUAGCGGCGAGCGAAACGGGAAGAGCCCAAACCAACAAGCUUGCUUGUUGGGGUUGUAGGACACUCUAUACGGAGUUACAAAGGACGACAUUAGACGAAUCAUCUGGAAAGAUGAAUCAAAGAAGGUAAUAAUCCUGUAGUCGAAAAUGUUGUCUCUCUUGAGUGGAUCCUGAGUACGACGGAGCACGUGAAAUUCCGUCGGAAUCUGGGAGGACCAUCUCCUAAGGCUAAAUACUCUCUAGUGACCGAUAGUGAACCAGUACCGUGAGGGAAAGGUGAAAAGCACCCCGGAAGGGGAGUGAAAUAGAACCUGAAACCGUGUGCUUACAAGUAGUCAGAGCCCGUUAAUGGGUGAUGGCGUGCCUUUUGUAGAAUGAACCGGCGAGUUACGAUUUGAUGCAAGGUUAAGCAGUAAAUGUGGAGCCGUAGCGAAAGCGAGUCUGAAUAGGGCGUUUAGUAUUUGGUCGUAGACCCGAAACCAGGUGAUCUACCCUUGGUCAGGUUGAAGUUCAGGUAACACUGAAUGGAGGACCGAACCGACUUACGUUGAAAAGUGAGCGGAUGAACUGAGGGUAGCGGAGAAAUUCCAAUCGAACCUGGAGAUAGCUGGUUCUCUCCGAAAUAGCUUUAGGGCUAGCCUCAAGUGAUGAUUAUUGGAGGUAGAGCACUGUUUGGACGAGGGGCCCCUCUCGGGUUACCGAAUUCAGACAAACUCCGAAUGCCAAUUAAUUUAACUUGGGAGUCAGAACAUGGGUGAUAAGGUCCGUGUUCGAAAGGGAAACAGCCCAGACCACCAGCUAAGGUCCCAAAAUAUAUGUUAAGUGGAAAAGGAUGUGGCGUUGCCCAGACAACUAGGAUGUUGGCUUAGAAGCAGCCAUCAUUUAAAGAGUGCGUAAUAGCUCACUAGUCGAGUGACACUGCGCCGAAAAUGUACCGGGGCUAAACAUAUUACCGAAGCUGUGGAUUGUCCUUUGGACAAUGGUAGGAGAGCGUUCUAAGGGCGUUGAAGCAUGAUCGCAAGGACAUGUGGAGCGCUUAGAAGUGAGAAUGCCGGUGUGAGUAGCGAAAGACGGGUGAGAAUCCCGUCCACCGAUUGACUAAGGUUUCCAGAGGAAGGCUCGUCCGCUCUGGGUUAGUCGGGUCCUAAGCUGAGGCCGACAGGCGUAGGCGAUGGAUAACAGGUUGAUAUUCCUGUACCACCUAUAAUCGUUUUAAUCGAUGGGGGGACGCAGUAGGAUAGGCGAAGCGUGCGAUUGGAUUGCACGUCUAAGCAGUAAGGCUGAGUAUUAGGCAAAUCCGGUACUCGUUAAGGCUGAGCUGUGAUGGGGAGAAGACAUUGUGUCUUCGAGUCGUUGAUUUCACACUGCCGAGAAAAGCCUCUAGAUAGAAAAUAGGUGCCCGUACCGCAAACCGACACAGGUAGUCAAGAUGAGAAUUCUAAGGUGAGCGAGCGAACUCUCGUUAAGGAACUCGGCAAAAUGACCCCGUAACUUCGGGAGAAGGGGUGCUCUUUAGGGUUAACGCCCAGAAGAGCCGCAGUGAAUAGGCCCAAGCGACUGUUUAUCAAAAACACAGGUCUCUGCUAAACCGUAAGGUGAUGUAUAGGGGCUGACGCCUGCCCGGUGCUGGAAGGUUAAGAGGAGUGGUUAGCUUCUGCGAAGCUACGAAUCGAAGCCCCAGUAAACGGCGGCCGUAACUAUAACGGUCCUAAGGUAGCGAAAUUCCUUGUCGGGUAAGUUCCGACCCGCACGAAAGGCGUAACGAUUUGGGCACUGUCUCAACGAGAGACUCGGUGAAAUCAUAGUACCUGUGAAGAUGCAGGUUACCCGCGACAGGACGGAAAGACCCCGUGGAGCUUUACUGUAGCCUGAUAUUGAAAUUCGGCACAGCUUGUACAGGAUAGGUAGGAGCCUUUGAAACGUGAGCGCUAGCUUACGUGGAGGCGCUGGUGGGAUACUACCCUAGCUGUGUUGGCUUUCUAACCCGCACCACUUAUCGUGGUGGGAGACAGUGUCAGGCGGGCAGUUUGACUGGGGCGGUCGCCUCCUAAAAGGUAACGGAGGCGCUCAAAGGUUCCCUCAGAAUGGUUGGAAAUCAUUCAUAGAGUGUAAAGGCAUAAGGGAGCUUGACUGCGAGACCUACAAGUCGAGCAGGGUCGAAAGACGGACUUAGUGAUCCGGUGGUUCCGCAUGGAAGGGCCAUCGCUCAACGGAUAAAAGCUACCCCGGGGAUAACAGGCUUAUCUCCCCCAAGAGUUCACAUCGACGGGGAGGUUUGGCACCUCGAUGUCGGCUCAUCGCAUCCUGGGGCUGUAGUCGGUCCCAAGGGUUGGGCUGUUCGCCCAUUAAAGCGGUACGCGAGCUGGGUUCAGAACGUCGUGAGACAGUUCGGUCCCUAUCCGUCGUGGGCGUAGGAAAUUUGAGAGGAGCUGUCCUUAGUACGAGAGGACCGGGAUGGACAUACCUCUGGUGUACCAGUUGUCGUGCCAACGGCAUAGCUGGGUAGCUAUGUGUGGACGGGAUAAGUGCUGAAAGCAUCUAAGCAUGAAGCCCCCCUCAAGAUGAGAUUUCCCAACUUCGGUUAUAAGAUCCCUCAAAGAUGAUGAGGUUAAUAGGUUCGAGGUGGAAGCAUGGUGACAUGUGUAGCUGACGAAUACUAAUCGAUCGAAGACUUAAUCAA
rnacentral:rRNA from 1 species